rnacentral:rRNA from 1 species
CCUACGGGCGGCAGCAGUCGAGAAUCAUUCACAAUGGGGGAAACCCUGAUGGUGCGACGCCGCGUGGGGGAAUGAAGGUCUUCGGAUUGUAAACCCCUGUCAUGUGGGAGCAAAUUAAAAAGAUAGUACCACAAGAGGAAGAGACGGCUAACUCUGUGCCAGCAGCCGCGGUAAUACAGAGGUCUCAAGCGUUGUUCGGAAUCACUGGGCGUAAGGCGUGCGUAGGCUGUUUCGUAAGUCGUGUGUGAAAGGCGCGGGCUCAACCCACGGACGGCACAUGAUACUGCGAGACUAGAGUAAUGGAGGGGGAACCGGAAUUCUCGGUGUAGCAGUGAAAUGCGUAGAUAUCGAGAGGAACACUCGUGGCGAAGGCGGGUUCCUGGACAUUAACUGACGCUGAGGCACGAAGGCCAGGGGAGCGAAAGGGAUUAGAUACCCCUGUAGUC